CCUACGGGGGGCAGCAGUGAGGAAUAUUGGUCAAUGGCCGUAAGUCUGAACCAGCCAAGUCGCGUGAAGGAAGAAGGCUCUAUGGUUUGUAAACUUCUUUUAUAGGGGAAUAAAGGUAUCCACGUGUGGAUAUUUGCAUGUACUCUAUGAAUAAGCAUCGGCUCACUCCGUGCCAGCAGCCGCGGUAAUACGGAGGAUUCGAGCGUUAUCCGGAUUUAUUGGGUUUAAAGGGUGCGUAGGUUGUUUUUUAAGUCAGCGGUGAAAGUUUGUGGCUCAACCAUAAAAUUGCCGUUGAGACUGGAAGACUGGAGUGUGUGUGAAGUAGGGGGCAUGCGUGGUGUAGCGGUGAAAUGCAUAGAUAUCACGCAGAACUCCGAUUGCGAAGGCAGCUUACUAAGCCAUAACUGACACUGACAUUGAUGCUCGAAAGUGUGGGUAUCAAACAGGAUUAGAUACCCUAGUAGUC
rnacentral:rRNA from 1 species